rnacentral:misc_RNA from 1 species
GAUGAAGAACGCAGCGAAAUGCGAUAAGUAAUGUGAAUUGCAGAAUUCAGUGAAUCAUCGAAUCUUUGAACGCACAUUGCGCCCGCCAGUAUUCUGGCGGGCAUACCUGUUCGAGCGUCAUUUCAACCAUCAAGCCCCCGGCUUGUGUUGGGGACCUGCGGCUGCCGCAGGCCCUGAAAACCAGUGGCGGGCUCGCUAGUCACUCCGAGCGUAGUAAUACAUCUCGCUCAGGGCGUGCUGCGGGUUCCGGCCGUUAAAAAGCCUUAUUUACCCAAGGUUGACCUCGGAUCAGGUAGGAAGACCCGCUGAACUUAAGCAUAUCAAUAAGCGGAGGA